rnacentral:rRNA from 1 species
CCCUUAGAUGUUCUGGGCCGCACGCGCGCUACACUGACAGAGUCAACGAGUAUUCUCCCUUGGCCGGAAGGUCUGGGUAAUCUUGUGAAACUCUGUCGUGCUGGGGAUAGUUCAUUGCAAUUAUUGAUCUUCAACGAGGAAUUCCUAGUAAGCGUGAGUCAUCAGCUCGCGUUGAUUACGUCCCUGCCCUUUGUACACACCGCCCGUCGCUACUACCGAUUGAAUGGUUUAGUGAGGUCUUUGGACUGGAGCUCGUGAGGUGGCAACACCACACUUGCACCGGGAACUUGAACAAACUUGAUCAUUUAGAGGAAGUAAAAGUCGUAACA